GCAGAGGUAACCUAGCUCGGUAUGGUGCUUGCCUUAUGAGCAAGGGUCUUUCCGGAUUCGUGGGUUCAAAUCCCGCUCUCUGCG
rnacentral:tRNA from 1 species